AGACUCAGAGAAAUUAUUUUUUUUUCUUGCUUUCUCGCAACUAGCCAAUCACAGCCUGCCAUGUAAUCUCACACCCAAGCCAAACAAGUUGUAAGUUAACAUCCUGAUGCCAACUAUUUGAAUAUAUAUAUUUUUUUUAAUCCUCACACCCGCAUAGAAAAUACUCCACUGCGUUUGCUCUAAUAGAAGAUAGAUUUGAAAAGUCAGUGGUCAAAGUCAAACAUGACUAGAUUUGGUCAACUUCAAACUUUUGAAUAUUGCUGAUAUAACUCCUUUCCUUUGAUCCUUCCCUUCUGCAUUCUUUUGUGUACCUUUUGCUUCCAAUUGCCUACAUUUGUGUUGGUUAAAAUUAAUUAGGAAUCGGUUUAAGUUAACAAAAUACACUAAACCGAAUAUUAAAGAUAACCGAAAGCUAAGUUAUAUUGGUUAUACUGUUUUUUUUUUGAUGAAAAAAAAGUAUUGGUUAUACUGUAACAAGAAAUAGAGGACAUUUCAUUGUUAAAAUUUAAAAAUGUAGAUAAAUUAUUUGAUCACCAGCUGGUAAAUAAGAAGCAUCUAGAAUGUAAGAAAAUUUAUGCAUAAACUAGAGACACUGAAUUUAUGAAUUUUAUGGCUGAGAUAUAGUGUAACUAAUCAUAUCAAUUCUUUUUUUGUCAAUCAUAUCAAUGAAUCUAAAUUUUACGAUUUUGAUUGGUAAACUUUGGAAUAAUUGAGAAAAAAAGAAGAAAAAUGAUAAGAAAGAGAGUAAAAGUGAAGAGUACUGUAACUUUUUAUUUCACCAAAAAUAAAUGGCAUAAAUAUGUGAACAAAAGCAUUGGUUCAAAUCACAAUUUUUGUAUAAUGUGGGUACUUUUUUAAUGGUUGGAACUUGGAAGAAACUUUUUUAAAGCAAACUAUAUGCAAAUUUAAAUAUGUUGCAGCAUAAUAUGAGAAAAGAUUAUUUACGCCUUAAAAUUAAAUUAUCAGUGACUAUUAAAUUAUCACUGACUAAUGGUAAGCAUAAUAACUUAAGACAAUGAACAACAAAAGUCAAAACUUAAUAAUCUUUAAGCAAAAAUUGAAUUUAUACCUAGAUUUCUCUAACUAAAGAAUCUAAUUAAAUGUUGAAUAUUAAAUUAUGUUACCAGUAAAAAAAAAUGUUACCAGUGUAAAAUUAUAAUGUCUUUCUAAACCCAAAUGAUAAAGAAACAAGAAACAAUAUGAAAACAAUCGUAAGGUAAUGUACAAAAAAGAACCCAAGUGGAUGUAUGUGAAACGUCCAAAGUGAUAAUUUGAGGAUUAGCUGCAGAGUUCAAACAUAAAAACGAAAGUUCAACUACUACUUU
rnacentral:lncRNA from 1 species